rnacentral:ribozyme from 1 species
UUUCGUUUCUUCCUUUUCUUAUCUUCCUUCUUUUUAUUUUUUCCUUCUCCUUUUUGUUCCACAAUCUGUG